rnacentral:rRNA from 1 species
GACGAACGCUGGCGGCGUGCUUGACACAUGCAAGUCGAACGCUGAAGCUCAGCUUUUGUUGGGUGGAUGAGUGGCGAACGGGUGUGUAACACGUGAGUAACCUGCCUCCUUCUUUGGGAUAACGCCCGGAAACGGGUGCUAAUACUGGAUAUUCACUGGUCUUCGCAUGGGGGUUGGUGGAAAGGGUUUUUCUGGUGGGGGAUGGGCUCGCGGCCUAUCAGCUUGUUGGUGGGGUGAUGGCCUACCAAGGCUUUGACGGGUAGCCGGCCUGAGAGGGUGACCGGUCACAUUGGGACUGAGAUACGGCCCAGACUCCUACGGGAGGCAGCAGUGGGGAAUAUUGCACAAUGGGCGCAAGCCUGAUGCAGCGACGCCGCGUGAGGGAUGGAGGCCUUCGGGUUGUGAACCUCUUUCGCUCAUGGUCAAGCCGCAACAAUGGUUGUGGUGAGGGUAGUGGGUAAAGAAGCGCCGGCUAACUACGUG